ensembl:lncRNA
UAAAAGGCAAUGUACACUUCAAUACACUCGAAUUGCUGUAAAGCACCAGACUUCCUGAAUGUUCCUCCACCCAUCAGAGAAGAAACUCCUGUUUCUCACCAGCACACACUCGUAGCUUCACUCCUCCCCCUGACUGACUGACAUUAACAUGUUAUUAAUAUGCAAACAGGUGGAAGCACGGAUACGUAGUUCUCUCUCACUACAGGGACAUACUGGAGUUUUUCUACAAUUGAAAGAUUUACAGAUGUUCAUAUGAUCUAUGUGUAGGCACGCCUGAAAGCUGACACGCUACAGAUUCUCACCAGCUUUUAGUCAUGCUCGUAUGUUAAAACCCCGUCAUGAUGUUACGUGAGAAAGAAGAUACAAGGGAUCUGACCAUGGUGGAGCUCGCCGGCGAUUCUCACGUCCCCAGGGGGUUAACACACCUUCCAUAAAAAGCAGGUAGUGUGUUCUAUAGCCAUGUUUCAUAUUUACUGUAAUAAACUCACAUUCCAUGCAAGUAGCUUUAAUUUGUUAGCAUACAUUAGUGAUGUAUAUUUACCUUCAGUAAGCGACAUCGUCAUUAUAGAUUUAACAAGCAACUGUCUGAAUGCUCUCCAUCCACUUUAAUAAGAACACCUGCUCACUGAAUGUAGCUAUUCAAUCAGCCAACGAUAAGGCAGCAGCACAAUGGAAGAGCUACAACAGCUGAAGACCUCAGCAGGUUCCUCACCUAUUAGACAGGAACAGGAAUCUGAGGCUUUCGCGGGUGCACUCCCCUACAUACACACAGUUGAAUCUUCAGCUGUGCCAUUUAGGCGAGUCUGCACCCACGAUAGAUCCAGAGUCCUGUUCGUGUGGUCUUCUGCUGUUGUCGUCGUCCAUCCACUUCAAGGUUCAACGUGUUGUGCGUUCUACACUAAAGUCACAUCCUCUAAUAAACUCGGCACUAGUUUCUCAGCUGUUUCAUGCAAACGAUCCGAUUUUCCACGAACAUUGCAGGUAUUAAAGAGUUUGCUGUGCGAACUGAAGUCAAUCUCCUCACCGUUUCUUUCAUUCGUAACAUUACUGUUCAACGGGUAAGAGUUAGUAAUGCCGCAGUACACACGGUAGGUGCCGAAAUACAGCGAGCGCGGGCGCAAUACAACUCCAGGUGUGUACGCGGACCAGGUCGCGGGAGCCGACGCAGAUCUAUUCUACACUAAAACUUUUUCCUGGUACGGAAACGAAACUGCGUCAGAGUACGGAUUUCCCUUUGUGCUCUUGGUGUGAUCUUUGAAGGAAACCCACUCCUAGAGAGAGUAUCAACAGUCGUGAAUUUCCUCCAUUUGCAGACAGAGUCUUAUCAUGGAUUGAUGAACACCCAGGUCUUUAAAAUGCUUGUGUAGUCUCUUCCAGCUUCGUGCAUCUCUAUAAUGUCAUCUAGGAUCCUGUGAAAGUCGAUGGGAUCGAGGCAUGGUUCACACUAAGCAACUGUUCUUGAGAACAACAGAUUUGUAAGUAACCAGACUUUGUGUCUCUUUACAUGAAGGGCAAAACACCCGUACUUCCAAUCUGAUUCCAGCUAAUGGAAAGACCUUAUUCCACCUGAAGGCUUGCUGCUGAUGCCAGGGACUGCGGGGCAGGUCUGGUCCUCCUGCAGGCCGGCCCAGAUGGAAUUGACCAGCCAGUUUGUUUUUAUUAAAGAAUUCCACCAGCAUCAGUGAGUUUAUUCCACCAUAGAGAAAGAGUUCCCGGUCCCAGCACUCCAACAUUUUGGAGGGUAUUUGGGGUCAUUAUCUAACCCCAUCCAGGUUUAAACAGACCACUUGUCUUCAUCAACAGGAUAUGGAAUCAGAACUGAUAAUGAGGUGGAGUUUAACAGUCCUUCCACCUUAACAUUACCCACACCUGUGUGAAGGAUAUCAUUGCUGAUGUGCUGUCUAGAGUGUAAACAUUUGUUUUCUCUGUCUAUAUGUUGUGUAUUUUGUCUGUGUACUCUUUCUCCAGCUCUUUCUAGCUCUCUCUGUUUUCCUAGGGCCCAGGAGGACCAAAAAGCUUGGAAUGGAACUGCAGGAGGUGUGAGGUGUUACGACCCCCAGCACUCUCUCCGGUCCUGAUAUCAGUGCAGUAGCGGUCUGGGUGGCAGUUUAGACCUACAUGUGGAGGUGUUUGGGUAUAACGGGGGGACGCGUCCGCUUCCUCUCUCUCUCUCUCGCACGCUUACACACGCGCAUGUGCACACUGACACUCACUCAGUCGGACAUCCUCAUACUCCCUCAUUAGACAUCCUCGAGGUGACGAUC